rnacentral:lncRNA from 1 species
CUCUGCCCUCAGGGUGUUGUAGAUAACCAGUGUGAGAAGACUACAGCUCUCCCUUCUCUUGCCUGGAGCCUCCCUAAUUCUUGGUCUCUCUGAGUUGCUCCCGGGUUUUAGACUCUUUCCCUCUCUUGCAGAUCAGGUCUCAGCUGCGGGAACUCUCGCCCUCCGCCCUCAGGUCACACCAGGUGGGCAGCACCCUGGUUGCACUGCGCUCCUGUUCAACUGAGAGCUGAUUUUGUGUUGAUAGCUACUGUGCUGAGUUCUCACAGCUGGGGGGAGGGGGAGCUGGAAACUGGUACCUGUUCAGUCGCAGAUCUGCACUGGUAGCC